CCGAGUACCGGGCGCACGCCCGUACCCACACACCAUGUUUACAUUCCACGUUGCUUCGGCGGGCCGUCGGGUGCCCCGCCCCCGGCUUCACCGCUGGGGUGUGCCUGCCGGAGGACCUUCUAAACGCCUUGCAAACCGGCGGUCCGAGUCUAUAUGAAUCAGUCA
rnacentral:misc_RNA from 1 species